rnacentral:rRNA from 1 species
GUGGGGAAUUUUGGACAAUGGGGGCAACCCUGAUCCAGCCAUUCCGCGUGAGUGAAGAAGGCCUUCGGGUUGUAAAGCUCUUUCAGCUGGAGUGAAACGGUGCGCUCUAACAUAGCGUGCUAAUGACGGUACCAGCAGAAGAAGCACCGGCUAACUACGUGCCAGCAGCCGCGGUAAUACGUAGGGUGCGAGCGUUAAUCGGAAUUACUGGGCGUAAAGCGUGCGCAGGCGGAUUGUUAAGCAAGACGUGAAAUCCCCGGGCUUAACCUGGGAAUGGCGUUUUGAACUGGCAGUCUAGAGUGCGUCAGAGGGGGGUGGAAUUCCACGUGUAGCAGUGAAAUGCGUAGAGAUGUGGAGGAACACCGAUGGCGAAGGCAGCCCCCUGGGAUGACACUGACGCUCAUGUACGAAAGCGUGGGUAGCAAACAGGAUUAGAUACCCGUGUAGUCC